AUUGAACGCUGGCGGCAUGCCUUACACAUGCAAGUCGAACGGUAACAGGUCUUCGGAUGCUGACGAGUGGCGAACGGGUGAGUAAUACAUCGGAACGUGCCCGAGAGUGGGGGAUAACGAGGCGAAAGCUUUGCUAAUACCGCAUACGAUCUCAGGAUGAAAGCAGGGGACCGCAAGGCCUUGCGCUCACGGAGCGGCCGAUGGCAGAUUAGGUAGUUGGUGGGAUAAAAGCUUACCAAGCCGACGAUCUGUAGCUGGUCUGAGAGGACGACCAGCCACACUGGGACUGAGACACGGCCCAGACUCCUACGGGAGGCAGCGUGGGGGAAUUUUGGACAAGGGGCGCAAGCCUGAUCCAGCCAUGCCGCGUGCAGGGUGAAGGCCUUCGGGUUGUAAACUGCUUUUGUACGGAACGAAAAGACUCUGGUUAAUACCUGGGGUCCAUGACGGUACCGUAAGAAUAAGCACCGGCUAACUACGUGCCAGCCGCCGCCGUAAAAC
rnacentral:rRNA from 1 species